CAGGGAAUCUUCCACAAUGGACGCAAGUCUGAUGGAGCAACGCCGCGUGAGUGAAGAAGGGUUUCGGCUCGUAAAGCUCUGUUGUUAAAGAAGAACGUGGGUAAGAGUAACUGUUUACCCAGUGACGGUAUUUAACCAGAAAGCCACGGCUAACUACGUGCCA
rnacentral:rRNA from 1 species